CUCGAAAUCUGCAGACAUCUUGAUUUUUCCCACGCUGUCUGUCAGGUCUCCGCCGCCACUCGACGCCAGGGCGCCGGGCCUUGUGGGCUGUGCUGCACCUCGGACGGCUUCGCACCAGCCAGCGCCCUCUCUCUCCUGCAGCACUCUGAUCUGCACCCCCUGAGGGGCUUCCACUGUCCGCGGGGUGAGAAUGCCCCUGGGAAUGUCACAUGACUGCCGCCCCAUGUGUGUGAGAGGUGUCCUCUGGGAGAGCAUGGAUCCUGAGGUCCCAGGAACAUCCCGAGAGCCAAGUUCCCAGAUGCCAGCCAAGGGCCAUCUGACCUGUUUUGAAUCUCAAUUUCCUGAUACAGAAAACAAAGGAUUGUCAGCUGACCUCUGUCCUGUGUGCCCAGUGGCCCCAGGUGACGUGUCUUCAAGAAGAGGCUGAGCUGCGGUGCUUGUAAGGGUCUCACUCUGUCACCCAGGCGGCUGGAGUGCAGUGGUGCAAUGAUGGCUCACUGCAGCCUCGACCUGGGCUCAAGUGAUCCUCCACCUCAGCUUCCCGAGUAGCUGGGACCACAGAGUCAUGUGCUGUUCCUGGGGCUUGGAUGAUGUAGGGGAAGCAAGGUGAAAGUGGUAUCCCGUGGUUCCACGUUCUGUCCUGCUGUGGGGCUGUCCCUCACAUGCCUUCAGUGGCUGUUGCAGAGGAAGAGCCUCCGGAAAUCUGCGUGGGUAAAGUGAGCUCCCCGGGGGAACCGUCCUCCUCCCUUGAGCGCUGGUGUGUCCACAGUGUGCUGUGAUCUGGAUUAGCAGUGAGUUUUUCUUUCAGGGUGUGUGUGUAUGAUGUUAGGACCAUAUGCUCCUGACCUUUUCCAACCCAAAAGCAUUUCCAUUUUUUUAAUGCUGGAAGUGUCUUAACUCCUUUUGGGGUCUUAGAAGGACACACGGUGGCCGUGGCUGGGCCUCUGCUCAGCUGGGCUGCUCUCCCUGCCUCAGGCCAUUCCUCAGGCCCUUGACACCAGCCUCCCUCCCUUGCUGGCUCUCUUUCUGUCCUUCCCUGCUCUUGUAUCCAAAAGUGAUCAUGGGUUGCCUGUGUCCCGAUCAUUAACAGUGCAGGGGCAGGAGUGCUGAAAGACAUCUUCCCUGCGUUGGUCCAGCCUUCCCUUUCAAACCAGGGAGCUUUCCCACGCUGCAGCCUUUUUCCAACUAGCCUUUCAGAGCUUGGGCCUUUGUGGGCCCAUGUGAUGUGGUGACUAGACCCCCCCCUGACUUCUGAGGGUUCAUUUUGUCUUUUCAUGUUAGGGAUCCUCCUGCCAGAAACCAGUCUGCAUUUCUCUCUGGGCCCCACGCUGGAAUGAAUUCAGUUAGCAGUGAAGGGCACACGUGAGAACUGCAAAUCACGGGCUUUGCUUCAUGAAAUGUGAAAUCCACAUUGUUUCCACAGGCACCUCAGUAAUGUCGAACAAAUGGAGAAAGUUGUAGGUGGGGCUAGGAAAGCUGUAUUCCUGUGGAUUACUCUAGCUGGUCAUUUGCCCCGAUUGUGAACUGCUUGAAAGAAAAACAAAACUUCUAAGAUGUUUGUCCUUUCAUGUCCUUUAUGUUGGGAUUUUUUAUUUGGUGUGCGUGAAUGAGGAGCUUCGCCCUGCUUGAAUGGGACCCCUCUCAGUGGUGUCAGCUUGGGGAGGAGGAGAUGGCCCUGGAGACUAAAUACGUGUAUGCUUUCUUACCCUCUUAGGUCUCAGCCUUAGAUCCAAGGACAGUCCAAGGAAGUCCUAAGACCAUGGAGUUGGUGAUCUGGGAUCUGGGUUUGCUGAUAUUUCUCACCAUGAAUCUCUUGGUGGUGUUUGUGGGCAUGAGAGGGGCAGAGAAUAGAGAGUGAGGCUACCACAUGAAGCGUCACCAGAGCUGCUCCCUGCUGCCUGCUCAGAGCACCCCGGAUCCACUGUUCAAUCUGCACAAGAUUCGGGGUCCAGACAUGGGAGACUUCAGCUGCCUCAGAGGACCGUGGACAGGGAAGGCCAGCCUCGCAUCCCUCUGUCCAUGCCUGGAAUGACUUUAAUAACCAAGAGUUUUAUUCUUGAAUUUGUAGCUGUCGUUCACUUUUUACCCACCCAUUCAAUAAACCUUACAGAAUUG
rnacentral:sRNA from 1 species